CCAAUUACAAAAGCUGGUCAGUUUGACGUCAUUGGUAGGUUUUUUCCAGACCCACAAUAAAGAGAUCUCUCGUCUCAGGGAGACAUGAGGGAGGGAAGCACGGUCAUU